CGACUUAUAUUAGGUAGAAGGCCAAUAUGAUUAUUGUGAAAUCAUCUUCCACAAAUUGAUUGAAUUGUUUUUGGGAAAAACAAGACUAGAUAUAAACGACUUGAUACUUUUAUCAAUUACGGCGAAGUUUGUGAGUGUCUGUACUGCAUAAUAAUUUUAAGUGAACUUGAAACUUUCUGCUACCGCAGUUUCCAGGAGAGCAUAUCGUAUGUCACUACCAUUGGUUUGCAUACACAUGAAGACAGAUAAUGCAAAGACAGAAAAGCAAGUGGCGACACAACUUUUAAGAGUGUCUCCACGUCAUACAGGAUUAAUGGUAACAGCGAGCUUUGAACGCGAUGCCUACUGCCAAGGUGGAUGAAAGAACACCGCCUACAGAACGCUACCAUAAAAAUGGGACCGUAGCGAUCUCACAGGCUACAAAGCGUCUAAGGAGCAAUCGUGUGCAUGAAAAGCCCGUUAGGAUGAAAAAGGAGAUCAACUACCCCGGGAUUACUGUGGCUACGAGCAAAGCACAUGUUAAAUGUAUGACUGGAAAACGUUAAGAUACGCCUCCAAUUUGACAGGGCUUAUACCGUGAAUAGGUGGCCUAAAUAAAAGCACCAGACGCCUGCUAGCUGCUCUGGUGGUUUCACUUGUAUGUUUGGUCCCAAGGCAAUGCAGCACGAAGGAGCAUGCAGCGUCGUACUGUAAUCGCCACUAGGCGAGACUGUGACGAGCGACUUCAAAACAGUGUCCGAGGGAGCCCUGCUAAUCCUUGACAGGAUACAAUUUUGAGAUUACUUUGCAUAGAGCUUGGUAAUAAUGGACAAAGUAUUUGACAACACAGAAUCGGGCGUUUGUGGAGCGAUAAGGUCGUUAAGCUUUAAGUGGGAACAGAUGAAAAGGUGGACGCGCUUUCCUUAGCCCUUCGAGUGAUCUGACCAACCUUUUAAGAAGCGUAUUUACCACGUGACACAAGUAUUUACAGGUUGUGGUCAGUUCCAGCCCUAAAUGGUCAUACCAUGUACUGCUUCAGACCGCGCAAAAAAAAUCCUGCGAAAGGAAGCCAAUUGAACAUCUGUGAAGAAUGUGAUCGGACGCAUGACCUAAUCCGGAAAGGAGUAAAAAAAGACUUUUUAAAGGGAUGAUAAGACGGUAACAGGAAAUCGACAAAGAGAGAAUAAGUUCGUUGUGAAUUUACCUGGAACCAGGCAGCCAGGUUGUCUGAGAAGAACGACUCAUUUCCCCCUCGGGGUCCUCGAAGUUAGAUGUGUAAUAGUGCCAAGCCUCAUAAAGAAGACGAGAAGUUGCGGUUUAGCGGGUAUUAGCUUAGCUAGCAGCUAAGCUUUCAUCUAUCCCAGAAAAACUAUUGAUUAAAGUGUACCGUUUGUUUGGGGCGCUUCAUAAGCUACAGGGAUGCUACGCCCAACGCGUAAGGUCCAGUUUAAUUCGUGCCUUACGAACACAGUACCGCGCGCCGUGGAAGCACUGUGCUUAACUUAACUGCUGUGAUAUUGGCAAAUGUCGUAGUCGUGGAAAAGGAAAACCUCUCUACAAUUAAAAUGAUACUGGCUUAUUCAGCAUAAGGUUGAUUACCGAUCAUAUUCUCAUACCUGUAAUCUCUAAAAUAAAUGAGCACAAUACCCCUGUCGUGUUUGAAGGUUCAAAGUAUUGGUUGUAAAAGGCCAGGCGUUCAUUUAGGUAGCUAAAAUAUGGCCGCAUCUGUCGAGGUAAAUAACAACAAAGCACGUUGUCCAUCAAGGUCUACCGAUUAGUAGCCUUAAGCUAAAUAAAGCUUGGCCUAUUAAAAAAUAAUCAUAAAUAAAAAUUAUUACUUCGAUGUAGCCGGACGAUAGAGACGAUAGGAGAUGAUAGUUCUAGGAGAGACGCUUACCAUCUUGUGAACGCUGUAAAUGACCUGUUAGAUAUAGAUUUUUGUUAGAUAAGUGGAUCCGUCGUGCAUGGGUGGUUUUGCAAGGGAAUAUAUUUAUCCGUCUACCGCAUGUCCGUGGUAAGAGCAGCUUGAAGGGUCAAUAAUGCUUGUUAUUUCGCAAUAAGCUACUCAGGAUCGACUUCCUUUCAAUGAUGACGCUAAAUGAAGCGUCACGAAUAUCAACUGCUGCUAGAUUAGUGUAUUGUAACAUUUUCAAUACUGAAAUCUCAUUGCGCCUAUAUAUUGUUUUCAAGCUAAACUAGGCCAAUUUACUCGCCACAAAAAUGUCUGCCUUAUCCAUUUUUAUUUCAACUCGCUUGUGAAGAACACAGUAAAAGGAAUGUGUAUAAAAGGUGACUGCAUAGGGUGCGUCGAAGGUUAGUCUCCUAUUUCUUUCGGAUCGGAAAACAAAGGUUCGAGGUUCUGUGCACGUCUUUACUCUCAGGUUAGCUUAGCCCCCGAGGCUUUAUUUUGUGUUAUUUGUGAAAAACAAGCUCAGCCAAACUUUUUCUCAGAAACCGCUCGAUAUGUUUUGCGUAGUUUUAAAAAAUAAUUCAGAAUUAAUUUUGUUUUUGGUGCCGUUUAAUCUAUAUUGUCCUUCACAUAGUUCCACAGGAAAAACUUGCUUAUUGA